GGAGGUGGAACAACAUGGUUGGUUAAGGCAUAUUGAGCAGGGCUAGAGGCUCUACAGUGAGAUAAGACAGUAAUCACAAACCAGGACAGUAAUGGACGUGGCAUAUUGAUAUUAGAGAGAGGCAUGCAUAGCCAAGUGAACAUAUGGGUCCAGUGAGUGGUUGGGCUGACUGGGGACACGGCGAUUCAGACAGUUAGCAGGCCGAUGCUAACAAGCUAACAGUUAGUAGACCGGGGCUAAACAAGUUAGCAGACCGGGGCUGGCAAGCUAGCAGUUAGCAGACCGGGGCUGGCAAGCUAGCAGUUAGCAGACCGGGGCUGGCAAGCUAGCAGUUAGCAGACCGGGGCUGGCAAGCUAGCAGUUAGCAGACCGGGUUAGCAAGCAAGCAGUUGGCAGACCGGGGCUAGCAGUUAGCAGACCGGGGCAAGCAAGCUAGCAGUUAACAGACCGGGGCUAGCAAGUUAGCCUUUGGGGGACCUCUUGAUGGGGGGCCAGUCAAGGUGGAAGUUUGAAUUGAUCAUGACAUCCUUUGACCUGUGGGGGAGCAGUGAACUAUUCUCCUCUGGAGUAUGGGCCCUGAGAAACCUGAUCCACAGGAUGCCGACCACCCCUCCCUCCUCCCUCUAUGCCCACCCACCAGCUUUCCCGGCCUUUUCCUCCACCACACCACCCGCCCCCCCCUGUUCCCCGUACCCCUCCCCACCAUGCUCCCCAGGCCCUGGGGUGAAGGGGAUUGGAGGUUCCGGAGGGGUGACCCUGCGUUCUCCAGCCACUCGUCACCUCACCCACCUGGACCCCUGGAGGAGGCAUAGCUGGGAGCCUGUGGCUGUACUGACAGUGCAGCAGCAGGGGACGGAGCCCAGCGACAACCACAG
rnacentral:lncRNA from 1 species